rnacentral:misc_RNA from 1 species
GAAGACGGCAUGGUUCGUACCCUUUCAUACUAUUCCCAAUUCUGCGAAUUCCUAUGUUACAAUUUGAAUCCUUUGCGAUAGUUUUUCUGUUUAGUGUCAAAUUUUAGUUCUUUGCAUUUGUUUUGGUGUUUGAGCUUAGUGCUUGUGGUUGUUUAUUUAGUGUUUAUCGAAUUAGUUGUGCCAAUGGGUGGCCGGAUAUCAAUCACGCUGUGUAGGAUUGUAUUUGGAUCGUGUUUUAAUAUGUUUUGUUAGUUAAUAGGUCAUUAUUUUAGUAUUUUAAAUUACAUAUUUUGUUCCAAAAUUUUAUAGCUGGAAUGGUGGCAUGUGAUAGUACUCUAUCUAUGGAUCAAAGGCAAACUGACUAAUAUGAUAUUUGUGAACAUGCUUCUUUCGUCUUAUUGAAAUCAGUAACAUAGUCCCAUAAUGUUGGAAUCCUUUUCACGGCUAAAAAGCUGAGUUUUCUAAGCUUCGAUAUAGUUAACUCGUUUGUUUAUCUUCUUUGGGUAUUGAUUGGUGAUUAUUUGAAAUGGUUAAAGGCAUAAUAGUUGGCCCUUUGAAACUUAAUUUAUCUGUCUGUUGAUGCUAUAGGAUAACUGGGUUCUGCCAUUUAAUAUUAUUCUGAAUUUUGAUAUGAUGCUUAUGUCGUUUGCAAUAUUUAUUUGAGUAGUAAAAGC